rnacentral:rRNA from 1 species
GACGAACGCUGGCGGCGUGCUUAACACAUGCAAGUCGAACGGAAAGGCCCUGCUUUUGUGGGGUGCUCGAGUGGCGAACGGGGGAGUAACGCGUGAGUAACCUGCCCUUGACUUUGGGAUAACUUCAGGAAACUGGGGCUAAUACCGGAUAGGAGCUCCUGCUGCAUGGUGGGGGUUGGAAAGUUUCGGCGGUUGGGGAUGGACUCGCGGCUUAUCAGCUUGUUGGUGGGGUAGUGGCUUACCAAGGCUUUGACGGGUAGCCGGCCUGAGAGGGUGACCGGCCACAUUGGGCCUGCGAUACGGCCCAGACUCCUACGGGCGGCAGCAGUGGAGAAUAUUGCACAAUGGGCGGACGCCUGAUGCAGCAACGCCGCGUGCGGGAUGACGGCCUUCGGGUUGUAAACCGCUUUCGCCUGUGACGAAGCGUGAGUGACGGUAAUGGGUAAAGAAGCACCGGCUAACUACGUG